CUGCUCUUUGCUCGGUGAGAAAGAUCCACCUACGACCUCAGGUCCUCAGACUGACCAGCCCAAGAAACAUCUCACCAAUUUCAAAUCCGGGGCCAGGCGUUCCUCCAGAACCUCCUCCCCCAGGAGCUUGCUACGAGUGCCAGAAAUCUGACCACCAGGCCAAGGAAUGCCUGCAGCCCAGGAUUCCCCCAUCUGUGUGGGACCCCACUGGAAAUCGGACUGUUCAACUCACCUGGCAGCCACUCCCAGAGCCCCUGGAACUCUGGCCCAAGCCUCUCUCACUGACUCCUUCUCAGCUUACCGGCUGAAGACUGACGCUGCCCGAUCGCCUCGGAAGCCCCGUAGACCAUCACGAACGCCGAGCUUCAGGUACACAUCCAGAUGGCCGGUUCCUGCCUUAACUGAUGACAUUCCACCACAAAAGAAGUGAAAAUGGCCUGUUCCUGCCUUAACUGAUGACACUGUCUUGUGAAAUUCCUUCUCCUGGCUCAUCCUGGCUCAAAAGCUCCCCUGCUGAGCACCUUGUGACCCCCCCCACUCCAGCCCGCCAGAGAACAACCCCCUUUGAUAGUAAUUUUCCUUUAUCCACCCAAAUCCUAUAAAAUGGCCCCACCCUUAUCUCCCUUCGCUCACUCUCUUUUCGGACUCAGCCCGCCUGCACCCAGGUGAAAUAAACAGCCAUGUUGCUCACACAAAGCCUGUUUGGUGGUCUCUUCACAUGGACGUGAGUGAAAAUAUCUCAGCAUAAAUUUCACUUCUACUACUCACUUGCUAUGUAAACUUUAAAAAAUUACUUACUCUCUAAGCCUCACUUUCCUAACGCUGUCAGAGUUGCCAGAAAAAUCAAAUAAAAUAACUGCAUGAAAAGCACUAAUCAUAAUGCCCAAGUCAUGAUAAGCAAACCCUGAAUAGUUGCUGUUAUUAAUUAUGAUUAUGUCCCUGGAUUCACAGUUUGCUCAACUUAUCCAUCUUAUUCCCAUUAUAAGAAGCUAGAAAGAAGUACAAACAAUUCUGAACUUUUUGUUUGUUUCAUGGUUGGUCGUAUUUCCCCUCAUUUCCUUUAUUCAUCAUUACUUUUGGUACUGAGGAUUUAAAAAAUUAA